GCACUCGUGCCCCCGGGCUCUCAGACCGGGGUGGGCGCCGGGUGGGAGUGGGUGGCUCCUGCUGGUCAGCCUCCCACUUCCCACAUCCCUGAGCCUAAGAUCAUCUUCCCCGGCAGCCUCCUGUGGGCCAGGGGUUGGAAAGAUCCCUUCUAGGCCAAAGAGCUAGUGGGGGUGAGGCUCAGAGGUACCAUUUUACCAAAUGGGCUCCCCUCUGGAAGCUUCCAGGGCCGCCCAUGGGGUUGGGCCAGGGAGGGGCAGAGAGAUUCAUACACUUAGGCGCGGCACCCAGGAGGCUUAGGGAAGCUUCAUCUGUACCUGGAGGGAGUCCUGGUCUCCCCAGAACACCCAGAGCCGUGGCUUGUUUUUGCAGCUUCCCACGGGUGUGUUCUCCACGGUGGUGCAGCAGCAGAGCCCCUGUCCUUGUUACAGGAGAAUCUGCCGCAGCUGCCACAGCCCACAGCACGUCUGGGGGUCCUUGACCGGCUGCCUCUAGAGGCCCGAGGGCCAGGAGGAGCCGAGCCAGUGAGGCAGGAGCUGGUUGUGGAAAGGGUGCAGGGUGAGGCUGGGCUGCCCUGCUUUCUCCUCCUCUGCCGUCUCCUCGCUCCCUUGUCCCAGAAUUGUCCUUGGUUUUCCUUUGCUGGACUUCUGUGAGAGAUUUGUGUCAGGAACACCUGGGACUGUUCAUGACCUCAGUGUGUGUGUAUUUAGGGUACAACAGACGUGUGUCCCACGUCCCACCCGCCGCCCAGGUGAAUGGUCUGCAGUUUGCCCGUGUGAAGUCUUGGGUUUCACCCACUGGCAGCGUGUAGGUCGUCUGUUCUUGCAGUUGGCAGGUGUGGCUGCCCUGUUCUGACCUGGAGGCCUCCAGAAUGACCUUGCUGGGACCGUCUUCAGGGGGCGUGCUCCCUCUCCUUCUUGGCUUGUCCCAUAUUUACAGGGAGGUCUCAGGACUCUGUCAGGGAUCUUUCUGGAGGUUGACCCUAACCCUGAGGCCCUUCAGAUUGAGGAGGGCGGCACAACCGUUUGCUCCCUACACUGACCUCUCCUCUCUCUCUUUAAAGGAAUUCUGCGACCUUCAAGUCGUUUGAAGACCGAGUUGGGACCAUAAAGUUUCCCCAGUGAUCACGUUUUGCAGUAGGACAGCCAGGAUAGGACAUUGAUACGGUCAAGGUGGAGAGCGGUUUCAUCCCCACAACGGUCCUUCCUGGUGCUCACCUUCCUCCAGCCCUACCCCCACCAUCACUCAUCUGUUCUCCGUUUCAAUGACUUGUCAUUGCAAGAAUGUCCUAGGAUUGGAACCGUGUAGCGUGGAGCCUUGGAAGAUUUGCUCUUACACUGCGUAAAUCCCUGGAGAUACUGCCAGCCAGCCUGUUGCCUGUGUUGGUGAUUUGUUCUCUUUAUUGCUGAUCGGUGUUGACGUGGCAUAGACUCCAUAGAGAGCCGGACAGCUGGGGUUCCCGGCACAGGCCUAGGACCUGCCAGCAUUGUGUGCUCUGUCUCAGGUUUUACUAUCUUUUUUUCUCGUUUUUUUUUUUCCCCAUCUGUAGUCUAAGGUUGUAGGUGGCAGAGAGAAUGGCAGUGAGAACCUUCCCUCCCCAACCGGGAGUGGCACCAAGCCCCUGCCCGAUCACACGCCUUUCUAAGCCCGUCGCAGCUUUGCCCGGCCACGGAACAAGUGCAAGCACGUCCUCAUCGGCUCGACUGCGACUCUGCAGCGCCGCGGCCCACCAGGCCGCGGGCAGGCGCACGGAGCUGGCUUUGAGGAUAGUCAUGCCACUCACAUGUAGCCGUGGCCGCUGUGUUCGCAUGAGCUUUACAGAACACGGUCUUGCACGCAGAUGCUUUACACUGAAGUUGUAAACUGUCCUCCCUGGGGUGCGGGGAGUGGACAGGACAGUGGGCCCUUUGGCAGUCUUGUUAGCUCAUGAGAACGUGGAAGGAACGGAGAGUGAUAAGCAUAAAAUAAAUGGUAUUUCCUCAACCUCUCCUUUUGUAAGUUAGAGGAGGAACCUGCGGAAGGAAGAUUCAUCCAGAAAGCCCUACCGGAUCUUCAGUUUUUAUUUCAAACGCUAAAUGAGAAAACUGUCCAUUUUCUGAAACUCUCCAGAAAAGAAACUGGUUAUCAGCAGCCGCCUAAUUGUUACACUAACGAUCUAGCUUUAACAAAAGCAAAUUCUUUAUUUUUUAAAUGCAGUGAAUUUUUCAAAAAUUAAAGCUAAGCAGAGCAGCUUUAGCCUCAGUUAGAAAACAUUAUUUCUUGGACUCAAGCUGAAAUACAAGCCUUACAUCACCUUAUGCUUUAUUUGUUUAUGAUGUUUUUAUAUAUAAAAAUAAGGGUUCUUUAGUGGGUUUUGAGCACCAUGUAGACUCCUGCAUCUAGCCCAAAGGGCAGCAUGCCUGGACCGUUGGUGUGUUUUAUUUCACUGAUGCACAUCAUCCCAGUGUAUGAAGCUUGCCUCUUUCUCCUCUCACGGAUCGGGGCAGCUCCUGCUGGUCAGAGGGCUCCUGGGCCUCGGGGGGUGGGGGCAGGGGGCCAGGAGAAAGAAAAGCCGGCACCCUCCACGGAUGGCUGAUGCAUGACUGGCCCUUGGCUCCAACCUGCCCAUUUGCUGCACGCUGGGGACGAGUGAGAAGCAGGUGGCCCUGCAUGGGGUCGGCUGGAACUCUGCUGUUGCCUCUUCUCGGGAGCUGCAAAGAUCUUAUUCCUGUUGUGAAGCUGCCACACCCCAGCAGCCUUGCAGUCAGGGCCCCAUGCGUGGGGUGUGUCGAGGGGCAGCUUUCCGUGCCUUACUGGCUCCCAGCAGGCAGAGACCGCUCCUGCACACGCACCUGUGCACUCCCGGGUGGGGGGGCAUGCGCUCAAAGUCCACUCUGGUAAGCUGAGUGUCUGCUCGUCCCUUCAGACGCCCUGGGUGGACUGCGGUCACCCCUGCUGACGCCAUGGGAAGAACAGCAUUUGGUCUUUUUUCUUCAGGGUUAGAAUCAUGGAUGGGGUGUGGUGAGAAAGCAGGAUGCAACUGUAGUAACUGAUUUAUCUUGUCCGAAAAGUGGAUAAUGGGAAAUUUGUCAAUAAAGCAUUCCUUUGGGGAAGAGCCCAUGUGA